AGUGAACGCUGGCGGCAGGCCUAACACAUGCAAGUCGAGCGGCAGCGCGUCCGACCACCCUCGGGUGGUCGGAUGGCGGCGAGCGGCGGACGGGUGAGGAAUGCAUCGGAAUCUGCCUCGUUGUGGGGGAUAACGUAGGGAAACUUACGCUAAUACCGGCAUACGACCUACGGGUGAAAGUGGGGGACCUUCGGGCCUCACGCGAUGAGAUGAGCCGAUGCCGGAUUAGCUAGUUGGCGGGGUAAAGGCCCACCAAGGCGACGAUCCGUAGCUGGUCUGAGAGGAUGAUCAGCCACACUGGAACUGAGACACGGUCCAGACUCCUACGGGAGGCAGCAGUGGGGAAUAUUGGACAAUGGGGGGCAACCCUGAUCCAGCCAUGCCGCGUGUGUGAAGAAGGCCUCGGUUGUUAAGC
rnacentral:rRNA from 1 species